UCCAAACAGUCUUGAGAACGGAUAAUAUUCAGAACGCAUUUGUGAAAAACUGGAGGAUCUACGAUGAACAUUUUCACAAAGAGUUCAUUUCUACUUCUCUCGAUUCAGAUUUCUUUAAUCUUUGCCGUUUCGAUUUCGAACUCCGUUUUCUUUGAUCGUAUGUGAUCCGUACGCGUUCAUCUUCGUGAUGCAGUCAUCUUAUUUUAUCAAGCCGCUUGAACCGGUGCGCGAUCCUUAUCGGAAUGAUUUCUCGUUCUUCUCUCUGAUUCAAGCGGAUUGAGCUAAGUUUACCUCAUCUGAAAACAACGAUAAAACGGCAGAAAAUCCGAAAGAGAUUUGGCAUUUUUGGAGGAAGAAGGAACUGCCUUCGUAUGAGGCAACGAGCAGGAAUAAGGGAAGACAACAGAUGCUGCAAAUGAAGAAGCUGAAACGGAGUUGUUGCAAUAAUGGUCGCAAACAACAGUCACCUUACAUGGUUCUCUCUUCCCUAAAUUAAAAAUUUACCGUUGUCACAUGAAGAUCAGGUGUGUUUUGCUUAGCUAAAAUUUGGCAGUUGGCGUAGUAUGUGAGGAAGAAAGUGGUCUACCAAUAAUCUACAUACCUUUACAUGAGUAAGAGAGAUGAGAGAAGAACCAAUGGACCAAAAUCAGUAGUGCAAAUUGUGCCGAGAAGUUCGACCCGAAGUUAAGAUAACCUUGGCCAAGACUGAGAUAAGGAGACCAAGUAGAAGUAAAGGCCGAGGCCAAAGAGACCAAGUUGAAGUAAAGAGCAAAGGUUGAGGCAACCAAUGUUAGGGUUAAGGAGACCAAGUUAGAGUGAAGAGCAACAACCGAGACUAUCGAGGUCAAAGAGACCAAGUUGAAACAAAGAGCCAAGGUCGAGGCUUAAGAUCAAAAUUUCAUAGAAGUUGAUCGAGGUCGACCUUAAAUGCAUCAAGGCAAUAUAUUUUCACCAUCCAUAUGCGUUCAAAUACACUGUGAAAAGUAGCUGAGUUCGACCCUAAGUACAUUAGGAUCAAAUAUCUCUACCGACUUCAUCCUAACGUUUAGAAGGUUGUGAUAACCCUAAAUGUUUAAGGUUAAGGUUGAGGCUCAAGCUUAUCAACAGAAAGUUGAGUUGCUCAAGAUCUAGAGACGGUUGAAAUUAAGGUUGAGGUUGAGACCAAGGAGUACCACUAGACACCAAAAAUUAAUUAGAACCUCGAAAGAUAACAGGACAAGCAAAAGACAAACAUGUGAAGCUUGAUUGAAGAAAAGCCGCCAUCCAAGGUUGACCAGCCCAUAAGAUAU